AGCAAUAAGUAUAGGUUAUUUUGAGGCAACGAGGGGAUAUGUGAUUUAUUCACCGAGGCGCGAGGUGAAUAAACACAUAUCCCCGAGGUGCCUCAAAAUAACGUACUUAUUUUUCACACUGCGAGGUCGCGUUAAUGAGUCAGAAAAGAAAUAAUUCUUAAUGCCAUAUUGCCUUCGCGAUGUUGUUGUUUCUCAUUUUUUGUGCUGCAAAGACAUUGCAGGUGAAUAUUAGAGGGGAUUAUUAAUUGCAGGUGAAUAUUAGAGGGGAUUAUUAAACGGAAAUUGAUUAGAG